CGGCCCCUCCGCCGCCCAGGUGACCCAGGGACAGGUGAGCCCCGCGGGGCGGAGGCGGCUCGGGGACGCUGCGAGGGGCUCCCCGGCCACCUGUGGAGCCGGUGUCGCCUCUGCCGGGCGCGGGCAGCGCUCGGGGGAAGGGGCCGCUCUCCCCCGGCCCCGGGGACAGCCGGGGCGAUCCCGGGGAGAUCCCGACCGGAUCCCGGCGGCGGGGCCGCGGAUCAGCACCACGGACAGCGCCCGGCGGCGCCUCCCAGGCGGGGCUGGACCGAGACACGAGCCCGGCACCGGCAACCGGGAACCGGGAACCGGGAACCGGCACCGGGAACCGGGAACCGGCACCGGCAACCGGCACCGGGAACCGGGAACCGGGAACCGGCGGGUGCGGGCAGGACUCUCCCGGGACAUCGCCGCCCGCCCAGAGCCACCGAGGCGGCGCUGGACCGUUCGCCGGGGCCAGGUUCUCACCCUGUGCUGACGAAGGUGGGCUUGGAGCUCUGGGCAGGUUUUACAUGAGGGGCUGCACAGGCAAACUGUGCUGAAGCCGGGAAUGAACCCACACGUUCCCUGGGAGGAAUCCCCAGGGUCCCAGCAGGAUGCAUUAACAGCACAUCUCUCCAGCGAGCCGUGAUGGGAAGAGCACGGAGCAAAAAAAAAGAGAGAACCGAAGAACCGAUCUCUCGAAGGAUCCUGGCUGGCAGCAAUAUCAGCAUCUGACUGAAGAGAACUCAGCCGCACGCAUAAUCCUCGGGAAAAUUCAUCUCCACCCUCCCGCAGACCCCGAUUUGCUCUCUCCCCGCUCUCGCAGCCACUGAUGGAAGCUCCGGGGGUUUCCCCACCAGCCCGGCCCGGCCCCGCCGCUCCCGGGCUGGAAAUCCGCAGCUCCGGGAGGACCCGCGGCAGCUCCGGGGCACGGACACCGCUGCAGCCCAUCCCAGGGACCCUCAUUAGUAACCCCAUCCCAGGGACCCUCAUUAGUAACCCCAUCCCAGGGACCCUCAUUAGUAACCCCAUCCCAGGGACCCUCAUUAGUAACCCCGUCCCAGGGACCCUCAUUAGCAGCCCCCCGCUCCUCGGGACACGCCGGCUCUUGUCCCUCUGUCCCCGGAGAGAGCCGGUCCCUGUGUGCCAGCCCCGGAAUCACCGGCGUCUGGGGGCUCUGGCAGACGGGGCCGAGCGCAGAAUCCCGGCAGGAGCAGAGGGAGAUGGAAGGGACCGGAGUGGGGCAGUGCCUGUUCCAGUAAAGAUGCUGGGCUUGCCCACAUCCAUUGCUCCUGGCUGUUCUGACCCGGUGUCACCCCAGAUGUCCCCACGAUCUGUAGGAGAGACCAUGCAAAAUACACUUAUUCAUAAACUUUAUUAAUGGAUUUUUACAAGGCUCGGGGAGCCAGAGACCAGUGCUGCUGAGUGAUCUAGGUGCAGGCUCCAGGAAAAUAUUUAUUCUGAGACGCAUGGC